GACAGAGGUGCCGAGCGUUAGGCGGAAUCACUGGGCUUAAAGCGUGUGUAGGCGGGUCGUUAAGUACCUUGUGAAAUCCCCCGGCUCAACCGGGGAACGGCUGGGUAUACUGGCGAUCUUGAGCCACCUAGGGGCAGUCGGAACAAGUGGUGGAGCGGUGAAAUGCGUAGAUAUCACUUGGAACGCCAAUGGUGAAAACAGACUGCUGGGGGUGUGCUGACGCUGAGACACGAAAGCCAGGGGAGCAAACGGG
rnacentral:rRNA from 1 species